CCCACCUACGAUUCCAAACCAUCCAGACAAGGAUGAUGAUACUCCAAUUUGGUGCUUCUAUUGGCUACAGCAUGAUGGCAACUUCAACCCUGCACUACUUUUGAAGAAGUGUUCAGAUCAACCAAGGCAGAGUCAGAAUGAAGACUGCAAAAAACAUUGUCAAUUCAGAAACCAAUUAGAACAAGCUAGAAGUCAAAGUCAACAGUGAAAUGGCAUGGCGCGAACUUCUUCGCACUAUUGCCUAGCUUGCACCCUCCCAACUUAUGUCACUGUCUUUUUUGCAUGGCAUAAAUCUUUAUUUUCUCAUAUGCCAUGACAACUUAUGUCAAGUUUCCUUUUCUUUAUUUUGUUAAGCAUGUAUGUGUUAUCUUCGGCUCCUUGGGUCCGAGAAACUUGAAGUGGCUCCG